rnacentral:rRNA from 1 species
AACGAACGCUGGCGGCAGGCUUAACACAUGCAAGUCGAACGCCCCGCAAGGGGAGUGGCAGCCGGGUGAGUAACGCGUGGGAACAUACCCUUUUCUACGGAAUAGCUCUGGGAAACUGGAAUUAAUACCGUAUACGCCCUACGGGGGAAAGAUUUAUCGGGGAAGGAUUGGCCCGCGUGGGAUUAGCUAGUUGGUGGGGUAAAGGCCUACCAAGGCGACGAUCCAUAGCUGGUCUGAGAGGAUGAUCAGCCACAUUGGGGCUGAGAAACGGCCCAAACUCCUACGGGAGGCAGCAGUGGGGAAUAUUGGACAAUGGGCGCAAGCCUGAUCCAGCCAUGCCGCGUGAGUGAUGAAGGCCUUAGGGUUGUAAAGCUCUUUCACCGAUGAAGAUAAUGACGGUAGUCGGAGAAGAAGCCCCGGCUAACUUCGUG